CUGGCAUUUUCCAAGGGGUGCCUUGAGUCUAAAAAGGGUAGUAAGAGAUCUGUAGAAUUAGACAGUGAACAGGGAAUGUGAAGAAGUAAAUUUAGCACUUUUUGGGCUCUGUGUGCUUCUGCAGGACUUCCUUCCUGAAGUGCAUACUGUACCAUUUAAUGAGUGUCUGCUUUGAGACUACAGCAUGGCAACAGGGAAGAAAUGUAAGCUAAAAGUUACUCUCAAUUAUAUCUCCUUUGGACAGACACAAAGUAGGGAAGAAACAUACUGGUAGUUCUGGUGUGUAAACAUAGGACUAAAAAGGCCAUCACAAGGAACAAUUUGUGUGAAGUAUCCACAAAAUUAUCCACUCUGACUGGUCUCUCUCACUUCAUUCAGAAAGACCAUAUGGAUAAAAAAAUAGGGUCCUACUUAAGCUGCAGUUUCACAGAUUUUUACAGAAACCUCAAAAUCCAGAAUUGUCUGUGAAGUCUGCAAAAUCAACAACAACAAAACUUUAAAAAACUUAAUGAAAAUAAAAUGCUGGCUCCCUAGUGGGCACCAGCAGUCCUUGCUUCCAGGUGUGGAAAGUGCCAGCUGACAAGGCAGAAUGAAGGGCAGCAGACAAGAUGGCAACGAUCCGUCAUCCCUACUCCCCCUGCCAGGCCCUUUCUACCCAUCAGCACCAUGGGGCAGGGUUACAUGAAGGGCAGCCAGCAAUCAAGAAGGUGGCUGCCUCCUAAUCCCUCCUCCUCCCUGGGUGCUUCUCUGAUGAUCAGCACUGAGAGGUGAGGCAGGGUCUCUCAGUCAGCGCCAAGGGGCAGGGCCACCACUAAAUGACUGUGAUGCUAGAACUUUACACCACAAUCAAACUGCAAAAACUAGUAAAUCCCACCCCCCUCAUUUAGGUAGACCCCUAAAAAAAA